UACGGGAGGAGAGAGUGCUGCUCGUAGUAACUGGGAGUACGUGUUUGUAGGCGGCCUAAUCCUUAGAUUUUAUAUGAUUACGGUCUAACCGUAAAUAAGAAAUUAUAAAGGAAGGCUUGAGUACCUUUAGAGGUUGAUGGUAUUGCUACAUUAUCGUUGAAAUGUAAUUGAUGGUAGUAAGAGGACCAAAGGCGAAGGCAAUCAACCGAGGGCUACUGACGCUCAAGAACGAAAUCGGAGGGAGCGAAUGGG
rnacentral:rRNA from 1 species